CUCACCACGUCCAUUCACGAUCAGUGGACUGAUUUCAUACUAUGUCACUAACUAUAUAUACCAAGUAAGCUAACAUGGGUUAUCUAUAGCCAUGAUAUCCACAUAUCAUAACACUCAAACGCAUACUAAAUAAGAUCUUUUAAGCAAAUUUAUUUUCAGAAUAUUCAAAGCAAAGGAAUAUGUUUUAAUUUACUUUUGUACAAGCCAGA
rnacentral:lncRNA from 1 species